rnacentral:tRNA from 1 species
UGGCUCAGUGGUUAAGAGCACUGAGUGCUCUUCCAGAGGACCUGGGUUCAAUUCCCAG